GUUGUCCUCUGCUCACAAGAUAUCACUGGGUGUCCCUUAUGGGCUGAGCACUGUGCAGGACCACGAGGAGACCAGGAGGAACCAAAGCAGCUAUGGUCUUUGCUCUUGAGGUCCUCACCGGCUACAGCAGAGUUAGAUGUUCAUCAAGUAACCCAUAAACCGCACUGUCACAAGUGCCGUGCAGGAGCGCGUGUGAAUGAAGAGGGACUAGACACCGGAGAAAGUGUCUGAGAGGCCUCAGAGCUGGUGCUGGGCUCUGAAGCAGGAGCAAGAGUUAACUGGACAAAGCGGGGAAGGAAAAGCUCUCCGGGCAGAGAAAACAUCACUGGUAAAAGCAUGGGCAAAGGUCCUGUGGUUGAAGAGAGCCUGAUGCAUACACAUACUUGAUAAAAAGCCAGUGUGGCUGCACCACAGGGAGCCAGGAGCCCUUGGCAAGAGAUGAGGCCCCACACACUCUUGAGCUAUGCUGAGGAUGGUUAAGUUCUUCCUGUGAGACGUGAAAUCAUGAGGGUGAUGUUUGAGAAAACGCAGAGGCACAAAGAUUUGCACGGCUGCUGGGCAGGGAGAUCUGCGGGGCUGGGGAGGUGCUGUAGACCCAGCAGGCAGCGGAGAGGGGUGCUCACGGAGCAGCUGCUGGGCUCUGUCGCACACAGCUCAGCAGAGGAAUUGACUUCUUGCAGAGCUGGGGAUGUUGGGGAAGGGGAUCCUCUUGGCUGGGCAGCGGACGGCGGGAGGAGACCAGACCUGCGGGUCUGGACGUGCUGAGCUGGAGACACCUUCUGAGUGCCAGAAGGAGGCGUGCUUGGGACGAAGGCCCACUCCGGUCUGCACUCUGGGGAAGGGGUCUCUGCUGCUGAUACAGCCUGCGCGUGAGUCAGCGCUGUGAAGGUGGGAGACGAAACCAGGGGGCGGGUGCAUGGGACCACGACUUGACAUUUUGGGGAGCGUUCAGUAAUUAGAGGAGCUUUAUUAAGAUUCUUGAAAUGUUUAAAAAUAGCUCUGCGCCCCCAGCUCUCCUACCCCCAUUGCUCCAAGAACUUGAAAGAUUUUGAGGGCAGGGGCCAGGUCAGAAACCAGGAGCCUAUUUGAGCUUCCAGCUGACUCCGGCUGUGGUAUCUCAUAUUCCUGUGCAGAAGCCCAGGGACUGACAACAGGGUGGAAACAGACAGGUGCCAUUGCCAUAGCAUAGUGUAGGGCAGGAUCCCAGCUCGCCCGGCUUCUCCCAGGAAGACAGCCUGAGACAGCUGCCGACCUGGAGGGGUUCCUGUUGUCUCCCGCUCUGAGGAUCUCCUGGGCUUUCGAUGCUAUCUAUGGUUGGGCUGUGCAUCACCAGGGUCUCCACGAUGGUUCGUCACGAACCUCAGGAUCUCGUCCAAGGUCUAGGUCAUCUUAGCAAACAUCAGUUACCCCUGAACUUCAGCUACUGUGAAGACUUCCAGCUGAUAGAACCCCAAAGAGGACAGCUUUUCCCAGGGGUGCACUAGCCUCCCUAGAGGCUGUGGAUGUCCCCAGUGCCUUUCCCUCUCAGCAGAACUAAGGGCCUGUGUUGGGUACUGCUCAGCAACGUUCAUUCUGUAAUGACAAAGCAGUGGAGGAUGCUGGGGGCAGCGUAGGGGUCUGGAGAGAUGGGGGAUGAGUGGCAUUUGGGGAGUUUGUGAGAGCUAAGUUGCUCCAUCUGCCGCAUCCGUAACCCAUCAGCUCAGGGGGCUGAGCAAAUGGGUAAUUGGAGCCUGCGGUACCGAUUAGGAGCUACCCACACGUGUGUAACUGCUCAUUUCGUCUCCACAAAUGACUGCUUACUCGCCCAAGUGGAAGAUCUGAGCGGGCGCCUUGGGAAAUCCUGCUAGCAAGGCUUUUCCUUAGGAAGGACUACAGGCAAACGCUCAGAAACGCUGAGAAGGCCCGGACACCGAGGUCUAAUGGGAACCAAAUGUCCCUUCAGGAUUUGGGUGAAACUGAAAAACGAUGCUUUGGAAAAUGAAAGUCCAUUUUCUGUGUGUUUGCUUUGUUUUGCGAUAGAAACGGAAGAUAAAGGAAGGAUUAUCCAAUUCUACCAGCUUUGUGCUCGGAGAACACAGGCCUGCGAUGCUUCGUAUUGAAUAUGUGUGCUGCAGUGUCAGUCUCUACCAUUGGAGUAACCACGCUGACAUGGUUAUUUUCACCUCUAUAUUCGCUUUUAUAGAUAAUUAUCAGGAGGAAGAAAGAACAGGAUGCGGAUUCUCUCACUCAGACUCAGUUGUAUUGAUAGUUCACAACGAAUACCAUUCAUCCUUCAUGCGUGCAGCCCCAGGCACUUUGACAUUGACUUAGGGCCACGUAACCAGCACCACAGUGCAGAGACAGAACAUUGCCAUUAUGCACAAUGUUCCCCCUCUUCCACUGCACUGCUAACGCCGCCCCUCACCCUGCCCCGCGCCCAGCUCACUCAUCUGAUUUCCGUUCCUGUCAUUUUGCUUUUUCUCCAGAGGGCGAUUUUGAUAGAACCAUGCACCAUGUGGCCUUUUGUGUCUGGCUCCUUCCAGUUUAUGUAACACCUUUGAGGCUCACCCACAUUCUGGCACAGAUCAAUGAGUGUCAGAUCAAGCUCCUCUUUCCCCCUCGACUUACCUGGCACCUUUGUGAAUUCUUUCAUUCCUGACUUGGACUGAGAUGCUGCCAGCUCCCUGCCUCCCACCUGGCCUUCCAAGGCUCAGGGUGGCACUGAGCCAAGACAGGGAUUUUUGUUGCAAUAGGGAAACCAUCUGUAAAGGGGAAAACGUUGGCUGUAAGUGACUAAUAAAACAGCCUCCUAAAGCCUGAUGAACUGGCCUCAACAUCUAAGUGCUUCCCCCCGGUUUUAAAAGAGAAAGCUGAAAGACAUCGCAUCCCACCUGCUCGAAUGAAAUUCGGCUCCCUC